rnacentral:tRNA from 1 species
GGCCUCGUAGAUCAGCUGGUAAAGUGUACGCCGUACAAAAGCGUAGACGGCGUCCAUGUGUGGGUUCGAGUCCCACCGAGGCUA